rfam:Lasius niger Lnig_2.1_3627, whole genome shotgun sequence.
CAAACGGCCCUUUUCAGGGCCACAAAUUAUCCCAACAUUGGAAUU